AUUAAUUUCGGAUUUAAUUAAUCUUUUUAUUUUUUAAUGGACUCAUCUUUUCAAAUAAAGUUUGAGAGCGUCUGAAAAAGUCUGAGAAAAAGAUUGAGCAACACACCUUUUGUGUUGGAUAGCCGCCUCCGAAAAACAUGUUUGUUGCGAACAAACAUAUGAUUCAUAUAAACACAUGCAUCUGUAUAUCAUUUAACCCACUGAAAAUCAUCAAUCCAUACAUACAAAACAUAUUAAGAGUACCACAAAGAUAUUCACUAGAAAUCUAGUUUUCCGAUGAUGGAAUCUCGACUUAGAUUGUUGAAUCUUCCUGAAGCAGACGUCCAUCGAACUACAAGCACAUAGUAGGGAUGAAAUUAUGCUUCAAGGACAUUGCGGUAUGCAAGCCUCGUUCUUCAAUUUCUUUGAUUAAUAUUAAUUUCGUUUUAUUUAUACUCUGCCUAAAUAUUUAUUUGCAUUUAUUAUUUAUUAGCAAUAAAUUUAUCAUUGAUUGUUGAUAUUUAUCCAACAAUUACGAGCCCUGCACUAAUGCACGAAUAAAUGUUAUACAUUUUAAUCAUCGUGACUGCGAGCUUUUGCUUCUGUAUAGAUGAUUUAUUUAUGAAUUUCAUAGAGUUACUAUGUAAAUCUUUGCCAAAAUUUCAUUCAGCUACCAAUUACUUUAGUUUGCAUUGCUUCAUAAUAUUGUAGACGAAAGUUUCUCAAACCGCUUUAACAAUCUACCUUACUACUAAUCUGGUGGUUUCUGAAAUAUGUCGGCAAUAUGCUAAUUAGUAUCUUUUGUUCUCUCCCUUCCAUCUCUAAGAAACUUGAGUUAUUUUCAAAAUGUGACAUGAAUAUACAUUCCCUCAUAUUCCAACGGGCAACGAGAGAAUAAUAUUUCUUAGAGGAAAAGAAUAGAUCCUAUGUUAGGAAGGUGCAAAGUUGGAGUAUUUGCCAGACAAAAUUGUGGGCUUUCUUUUUUAAUUUUCUGACGGAGAAUUCUUACCACUUCUUUAUAAUUCAUAGAAAAUUGUUGCUUAUUUAUUUUAUGGAAAAUAUUUUUAAAGCCGAGUAAGAAGAGUGGGAGACAAAACCCAUUGAGUGUGAAAAUUUUAAACAUUGAACAAGCAUAAGAGGAAAGAUUUAGACUUCAAAAACUCAAACGGUUGCAAAAUGUCAUCCAUUGAAGUCUCAUUAAAUUGGGCGUUGUCUUGAGGAACAUGAAUUGGUUGCUCAUCAUCCAAAAUGUCAUCCGUUGAAUUGGCAUUGUUGCUGUUGAGGAAUUGCAUGCAAUUGGGUGUUUAUCUUCAUAUUCAUUUAGAAGGUAAGUUGAGACAUAUAAUGGAAUCUUGUCCAAUUUUGCAGAAAGACUUUCACAUACUCAGCUACCUAGGCACAUCAUCAUUGUCUACAAUCUUCAUCAUAUUAUGCACCCCUAAGUUAAUCAUCCAUUAAGAAUGUACUAAGAUUAUAUAGUGUUGUUGAAGUGUGUUCUUUCCCAGCCUCUAAAGUUUGUUACCAAGGUGACCCCUAGGGUAAAUCUCUAGGGUAAGACCCAAUGUAAUCUCUAGGGUAAGGGUAAGGCUAAAUGUAUUAUUGUAAAUCAACUUUCUCUUGAUUUAAGGGAGGAGACUGAUUGGGGUAAUGUCUUUGUGUAAGGUUUAGAUUAGGUAGGCAACAUGCCUUCUUCUUUCUUGUUGGCUGCUUGCUGCAGUCAUCCUUCCCCUCUUUUUUCCCUCUCUCUUCUCAUAUAUACCUGGUCUCACUCUUGUACAAACAUAUAAGAAAUAUACAUUGAAACUUUAAACCAGAAAAUCUACAUAGUAUUAGAGCAGUUUCCUUCGUGACCUGUCUCUGCCAUUAAGGUGUUGAUGACUUAACUCAAAUGAGUUUUGUGUAUCUUAUGAAAUCAAAGAGUGAAGUCUUAACUAUUUUCAAAGAUUUUCAUAUGCAUGUUAAAACCCAAUUUCAAUCAGACAUUAAGGUGUUGAGAUCAAAUAAUGGCACUGAAUUUCUAUCCAACAACAUGCUUCAAUACAUAAGUUCUUAGGGCAUAAUACAUCAAACCAGCUGUGUAGGGACUCUUCAACAAAAUGGAGUAGCCAAGAGAAAAAAUAGAGAUCUCUUGGAGAAGACUCGUGCUCUUUGCUUCACAUGCAUGUUCCAAAGAAAUUUUGGUCAUUUGCUAUCCUCACUGCCACUUACCUCAUCAACCGACACCCAAGUCGUGUGAUGGGGUUUAAAUCUUCCUAUGAAGUACUCAAGGGUAGAAAAAUGAUUUAACACACCUCAAGGUAUUUGGAUGUGUUUGCUUUGUUCACAUUCAAGCCUUGAACCGUGACAAAUUAGAUGCAAGGGCAACCCAGUGUGUGUUUGUGGGGUAUUCUUCCACCCAAAAGGGAUACAAGUGCUACAAUUCAGCCACUAAGAAGUGUGUUGUGUCAAGGGAUGUGAAGUUUGAAAAAGAUUGCCCUUAUUUUACUCACAAAGGGAAUAUUGCAAGUUAGGGGGAGGGACUGUUUGAAAUGUUUCCACUUCCUCAGAACAUUAAUAAUCCAGUGUUGGAAGAAAGCUCAGUUAUUGUGAUAGGAUAUAUUGAAGAAAUACAAACUGACUCAAUCUCUGAUAGUCGUAUUCGUGCCAAUGAGAGAGACGAGGAGUCUCAUUCUGAUCAUUAACAAUCUCCUAUAGAGUCUCAAGGGAAAACCUCAAACUAGGCUACAAGACUAUGUUACUUAUGCCUCACGGUAUCCUAUUAGAGAAAGUAUCAGCCUUGGUGAGUUCUCAACAUCUCAUGCUGCAUUUCUCUGUGAAAUUGAUAAACACAAUGAACCUAGAAGCUUUCAAGAGGCAUAUCUCCUCCCAUAAUGAAUCAAUCCAUGGUAGAUGAGCUUUGUGCUCUAGAAGAAAGUAAAACUUAGAGCUUGGUUCAACUACCACUAGGAAAAAGGUUGUUAGAAGUCGUUGGAUUUAGAAGAUUAAAUUCAAGGCCAAUCAUUCUAGUGAGAGACACAAGGCCCGGCUUGUUGCUCGAGGUUUCACCCAAUCAUGUGGGGUAGAUUACAAGCAAACAUUUGCACCUGUGGCCAAGAUGAAUUCAGUGAGGGUUCUACUCUCAGUUGCAAUCAAUUGUGGGUGGACGCUUUAUCAAAUGGAUGUGAAGAAUGCUUUCCUUCACGGAGAGUUACAAGAAGAAGUGUACAUGCAGCCUCCUCUAGGUUAUGAUGGUAUUAAAGGCAACAUGGUUUGUAAGCUACACAAGGCUAUCUAUAGAUUGAAACAAUCCCCAUGAGCUUGGUAUGCCAAGCUCAGUUUAGUUGUAAAGAAUGCUGGAUUCCUACGAAGUAAUGCUGAUUCCUUAUUGUUUGUAAGAACUGGCACUAGUGGGAAAUUGGUAGGGGUGGUUCGGUAUGGGAUACCAAACCAAAAGCUAUAUAUCAAAUACCAAACCGAAAAAGUUCGGGAUGAGAUUUCAGCAAUCGAAACUGAUCCGAAAUUUCACCUUUCUCGAAUUUCAAUAUUCCUGAAUGUUUUUCGGUUUUUCGGUACGGUUCGGGACGCAGCCAACACCAGCAAUCUCCAAUGGCUUCUUCACAAGCCUCCUCCUGAGAGAUCUUAAUACCAUUCUCCUCCGCUGCCUCCACCAUUCUCAGAAAGCAACGACCACGACGGCGACUCCGAAUCCCCCUAGCUCCCAACCCCACACCCACUCAUCUCUACAAUAACAUCUUCUCAUGCCAUUUCUUCGAGCAUACAGCGACUCCGAGUCCACCUUGCUCCCAACCCCACAGGGCCACACCCACUCCUCUCCACAAUCACAUCUUCUAAUACCAUUUCUGCACAAAUCCUUCAAAACCCACAUGCAAAAAUCCAAUCUUUUUCUCUCGAGCUUCAGUGAUCAUCAAAUGGAAUUAUUUGUUGUGGGUUAUGGAUCGUGCCUGCAUAACGUUGAUGAUUCAUAACCCAGAGACGAGAGAGCUUCAGAGAGGAUAGAGAAAGAAAUGGGUCGAGGCCAGAGAUGAGAGAGCUUCUUCCUAUCUCUGCUUUCCCAACACGAAGACUUCUUCUCUCUCUGCCUCAAGAAUCAAGUUUCAAAACCAAAACAAAAGCUUUGUACUUUUAGUUUCCAAAAAAGUUUUGUGCUUUUCUCCCAAACCGACAAGGCAUCACCAUCACAUUCCUUUUCCAUAUUAUUUUAUUUUUGUGCCUUUGCUAGUGGAACCGAAAGGCUCUGCUUUUCAUUUUAUUUUUUCAUUGUUCUUUGUAGAUGUAGCGCUGGAAAGUAGGAACCAAAAGCAAAAGCUAAAGAAGAUUUCGGGACUUCGGGAAUACCGAAGAAAUGAAAUUCGAAAACCAAUCCCAUACCAAAUAUUUCGGUAUUUUUCGGCACAGGAUAACCAAAGUUCGAGAUAGUUUCAGUUUGGGAUUUUUCGGUUUCGGUUUGGGAUUUUUUCGAUUUGGUUUGGGAUUUUCGGGAAUUUUUUCCAGCCCUAGAAAUUGGUAGUGCACAUCUAUGUGGUUGAUCUCAUCAUCACAAGAGAUAGUGCUGCUAAAAUUGAGGCACUAAAACUCUUACUACGCCAAACCUUUGCUAUCAAAGACAUGGGGAAGCUGAAGUAUUUUUUGGGCAUCGAAAUGGCAACUUCUUCAAAGGGACUGUUUCUACAUCAACGAAAAUAUGUAUUGGAUCUUUUUUAGGAAGUAAAAAUGCUUGACUACAAACCUUCCAUCACUCAUUUAGACACUAAACUAAGGCUUAACACAGAUGGAAAAGCCAUGCAUGAUGUGAGCUACUAUCAACGAUUGGUGGGCAAACUUAUAUAUCUCACUAUCAUACGUCCAGAUAUCACAUAUGCAGUGAGCUUGGCAAGCCAAUUUAUGCAUUCUCCUAUGGUUGAUCAUCUUAACAUGGUUAAGAGAAUCCUGCGUUAUCUCAAGGGUUCGAUAGGGCAAGGAAUCAUCAUGCGUAACAACAAUUCCAUUGCCAUCAGUGGCUACACAGAUGCAGAUUGGGCAGGGAAUGCACUUGAUAGGAAAUCUAUCACAGGUUAUUGCACAUUUGUUGGUGGAAAUCUUAUCACUUGGAAGAGCAAGAAGCAACAUGUCAUUGCUCGCUCCGGCGCAGAGGCUAAAUAUCGAGCCAUGGCAGCCAUUACAUGUGAACUUAUAUGGCUUAAAGGGCUUCUUUCAGACUUAGGGUUUACUAGUACUACUCCCAUGUCUCUUAUGUGUGAUAAUCAAGCAACCAUACACAUCACUGCUAACCUUGUGUUCCAUGAAAGAACGAAACACAUUGAAGUGGACUGUCAUUUUGUUAGAGCUCAAGUGCAAACUCAAGUCAUCUGAACCAUCUUCACGCGAAGCCAUGAUCAACUGGCAGAUCUCUUUACCAAGGCUUUGGCAUUUGCUUCAUUCCAUCAUUUUUUGGGCACGCUUGGCUCGAUCAACAUCCUUAAUCCAGCUUGAGGGGGAAUGUUGUUGAAGUGUAUUCUUUCCUAGCCUUUAAAGUCUGCUACCAAGGUGACCUCUAGGGUAAGGCCCAAUGUAAUCUCUAGGGCAAGGGUAAGGCUAAAUGUAUUAUUGUAAAUCAACUUUCCCUUGAUUUAAGGGAGGAGACUGAUCGGGGUAAUGUCUUUGUGUAAGGUUUAGAUUAGGUAGGCAACAUGCCUUCUUCUUUCUUGU
rnacentral:lncRNA from 1 species